rnacentral:rRNA from 1 species
AUGGCUCAGAUUGAACGCUGGCGGCAGGCUUAACACAUGCAAGUCGAGCGGGGAAUUGUAGCUUGCUACAUGACCUAGCGGCGGACGGGUGAGUAAUGCUUAGGAAUCUGCCUAUUAGUGGGGGACAACAUUUCGAAAGGAAUGCUAAUACCGCAUACGUCCUACGGGAGAAAGCAGGGGACCUUCGGGCCUUGCGCUAAUAGAUGAGCCUAAGUCGGAUUAGCUAGUUGGUGGGGUAAAGGCCUACCAAGGCGACGAUCUGUAGCGGGUCUGAGAGGAUGAUCCGCCACACUGGGACUGAGACACGGCCCAGACUCCUACGGGAGGCAGCAGUGGGGAAUAUUGGACAAUGGGGGCAACCCUGAUCCAGCCAUGCCGCGUGUGUGAAGAAGGCCCUUUUGGUUGUAAAGCACUUUAAGCGAGGAGGAGGCUACUUAGAUUAAUACUCUGAGAUAGUGGACGUUACUCGCAGAAUAAGCACCGGCUAACUCUGUGCCAGCCGCAGC